rnacentral:snRNA from 1 species
GCACUCUGUUUUUUCUUCAAUUUGUAUAAAUCUUUUGUCUUUUACUAAAGAUUUCUGUGGAGAGGAGUAUUUAUGAGUCUGUACCCAAUUUUUUGAGGCUUUGUUUUGGUGAGGCU